rnacentral:rRNA from 1 species
CGCCUGUUUAUCAAAAACAUCGCCUCUUGUAAAAAUAAAAUAAGAGGUCCCGCCUGCCCUGUGACUAAUAGUUUAACGGCCGCGGUAUUUUGACCGUGCAAAGGUAGCGCAAUCACUUGCCUUUUAAAUGAGGGCCUGUAUGAAUGGCACAACGAGGGCUUAACUGUCUCCUCCUCCUAGUCAAUGAAAUUGAUCUCUCCGUGCAGAAGCGGAGAUAAAAACAUAAGACGAGAAGACCCUGUGGAGCUUUAGAUCACAAGCAGACCAUGUCAAGGACAAUAAUAAGUGACUCAAACAAAUUGGCUACUGUUUUCGUGUCUUUGGUUGGGGCGACCGCGGGAUAAUAAAAAACUCCCACGAGGAUAGAGAAAACCUAUUCUUAUAACCAAGAGCUUCCUCUCUAAGUAACAGAACAUCUGACCUUUAUGAUCCGGCCUGGCCGAUCUACGGACCGAGUUACCCCAGGGAUAACAGCGCAAUCCUCUUUUAGAGUCCAUAUCGACAAGAGGGUUUACGACCUCGAUGUUGGAUCAGGACAUCCUAAUGGUGUAGCCGCUAUUAAGGGUUUGUUUGUUCAACAAUUAAAGUCCUACGUGAUCUGAGUUCAGACCGG